UUCUGGAAACAAAAAAGAUUGAUAUAAAUUUGGUUUGGGAAAACGGCACCUGAUAUUAAAACUCUAUGAGAAUCUUUCAUGCUCAGAUGUGAUGAGGAAGGAAGGACAAGGAAGUGAGUAACUGGGCCUGAACAUGGCCGCCCCAGUAGUUCACCCAAAUCCCUUUACUCCUACUUGUUAAUAAGCAGCAUGCACACAUGCAGCGUUCACUCAGCCAGUGGUUCUUAUGCUUUGCAGUGUUCUGUCACUGUGGAAAGAGUUAACUCAAACACAGUUCCUACACCCACGGAGGAUGGCAGUCUAGUGAAAAUGUGGCAAGAGUGAUGGGGACAUGUUACAGCCAGGACUUUGCAUACAGUGUCUGGAAGACAAGAGAGGGGCUGCCAUAAACAUAACUCAUAUGCAUGGACUUGUGCACCCCACAAGCUGCCUGGCAUUGAUGCUGGGCUGACAGUGCUGAGCAAAAGCAAAUCUAGUCCUCAUCCUUGACUUCCUGGAGCCUGAGCCAGAGAACCACGAUGCAGAUCAGAACAAAAUACACUUACAAUUACAAGUGGUGUAAGUGUCACUAUGGAAAUGUGUAUGGGGCUGUCAGCUUACAGGAUUAGGGAGUGCCUUGCUGGGGUCCAGGCGAGUGAGUGCAGAUCUUAAGACAGAGGGACAGCAUGAGCACCAGGGAGCAGAGCAUUUAAGAAGCUGGGAAAACGCCAGAGUGACACCACCAUCCCAAAUGGGAAGGUGACAGGACAUAAGGCGAGAAAGGGAGGGAAACACAGGCUAUGGGAAGGAUUCUGGACUUUAGCCCAAGAACAAUAAGAAACAACUAUAGUUUUUUCCUUUUCCUGCUUCGUCUCUUUAAAAAAUUUAAAAAAGGCAGCAGGGUGGUGUUGGGCAGUUUCAGAGUGCUUACCCAGAGCUGACCUGAAGUUGAAUUUUGAAGGAUGAAUAAAACUUUGCUAAUAAGGGAGGAAAGUGUGUUCCAAACAUAGGAAGCAAUAUGGAAUCACAUGAAGGUCUAUAGCCCUGUGGCACUAUUAAGAAUAUGCAGGAAGUUGGAUUUGCUGACAUGAAGAGCAGACAGGAAGCGAGGGGGAAGAACAAGAGUGCCAUGUGAAGCUAAGAAUGAAUUCCCUUCCAGAAACCACGUGGUGCCACUGGCACAUCUGAAGCAAGGGGGGGGAGUGGCGGGGUGAGACUGUGCAGGUUCUGGAGUCAAAGAUUGGGUUCACUUCUCUGUUCUCCUUACAAGGUCUUUAAUUUGGAGAAACCACUGAACUUCUUCUUCCUAAGAAUCCCCCAACUACCACAUUUAUCCUAGUGCCCAGCACACAGCUAAGUGAGUUGCUGCUGUACUUGAGAAACCUCACAGAGAGGAGGCCAGGGUACAGUGGGGACUGACAGUGGUAUACAGACACAGCCAUCCAAGUGAGAAGUCACGAUGGGAUGGGCAAAGGUAGUGAGGGUGAAGGGGAGGGAAUGGGCCUGGGAGGUGUCCAGGCAGAAUGCUGGGAAGUUGGGGCGAGGAAGGACAAAUGCCCAGUUCCAGCUCUGGUGUGGCAGGUCUGGGUGGAUGUGGAGCAGCUGCCUAUGUACCUCUGAAGAACCCUCACAGGAGGCAGACUAUGGAAAUGAAAUGAUGUCAGACAAAAAGCACAUUUGAGCAAUUUUCUUAUUUGAGCUUCAAAAUGGGUCAAAAAGCAGCGGAGACAACUUGUGACAAUGCAUUCGGCCUAGAAACUGCUAACGAACGUACAGUGCUGUGGUGGUUCAAGGAGUUCUGCAAAGGAGACGAGAGCCUCGAAAAUGAGGAGCCUAGUGGCCGGCCAUUGGAAGUCAUCACCGACCAAUUGAGAGCAAUCAUGGAAACUCAUCCCCUUACAGCUACCCAAGAAGUUGCCACAGAACUCAAUGUUGACCAUUUGAUGGUCAUUCGAUUUGAAGCAAAUUGCAAAGGUGAAAAACCUCGGUAAGUGGGUGCCUCAUGACUGAGCAAAAAAAGAAAAAAAUUUGUCAUUAUGAAGUGUUGUCUUCUCUUAUUCCAUGCAACAGUGAACCAUUUCUUGAUCAGAUUGUGAUGUGUAAUGAAAAGUGGAUUUUAUACGACAACGGGCGAUGACCAGCUUAGUGGCUGGACCGAGAAGCUCCAAAGCACUUCCCAAAGCCAAACUUGCACCAAAGAAAGAUCAUGCUCACUGUCUGGUGGUCUGCUCCACUACAGCUUUCUGAAUCCCGGCAAAACCGUUUCAUCUGAGAAAUAUGCUCAGUAAAUCCAGGAGACGCACUGAGAACGGCAAUGCCUGCAGCCGGCACUGGUCAACAGAAAUGGCCCAACUGUCUCCAUAAUGACCCUCGACUGCUGGUCGCAACACCAAUGCUUCACAAGUUGAACAAACUGGCCUCAUCCACCACAUUAAUCUGACUUCUCGCUAACCGACUUCCACUUCUUCAAGCAUCUCGACAACUUUUUGCAGGGAAAAUGCUUCCUUGACUAGCAGGAUGAAGAAAAUGCUUUCCAAGGGUUUGUAGAAUCCCGAAGCAUGGAUUUUUACACCACAGCAAGAAACUUAUUUCUUGUUGGCAAAAACGUGUUGAUUAUGAUAUUUCCUGUUUUGAUUAAUAAAGAUACAGUUGAGCCUA